AGUAGAUAUAGCCACCAGUACCUUUAACAAAUGAUCGAUUCUUAUGAAGAUGCACUGCAGCGAUUGGACCGUUUAAAAAAUGCAAAUUAUGCUUUUACAACGGAUUGUGAUAGUGAUUGAGCAGAAAAAAAUUGAUAAACUUAUUGUGCAAAUUAACUAAAUUAUAUUGUGCCAAAAACUAAA